GCCUGGCUGGCUCAGUCAGAAGAGCAUGAGACUGUUGAUUUCAUUGUUGUGAGUUUGAGCCCCACAUUGGGUG
rnacentral:tRNA from 1 species